rnacentral:rRNA from 1 species
CCUUGACAUACUAAGAACUUUCCAGAGAUGGAUUGGUGCCUUCGGGAACUUAGAUACAGGUGCUGCAUGGCUGUCGUCAGCUCGUGUCGUGAGAUGUUGGGUUAAGUCCCGCAACGAGCGCAACCCUUUUCCUUAUUUGCCAGCGGGUCAUGCCGGGAACUUUAAGGAUACUGCCAGUGACAAACUGGAGGAAGGCGGGGACGACGUCAAGUCAUCAUGGCCCUUACGGCCAGGGCUACACACGUGCUACAAUGGUCGGUACAAAGGGUUGCUACCUCGCGAGAGGAUGCUAAUCUCAAAAAGCCGAUCGUAGUCCGGAUCGCAGUCUGCAACUCGACUGCGUGAAGUCGGAAUCGCUAGUAAUCGCGGAUCAGAAUGCCGCGGUGAAUACGUUCCCGGGCCUUGUACACACCGCCCGUCACACCAUGGGAGUUUGUUGCACCAGAAGUAGGUAGUCUAACCGCAAGGAGGACGCUCACCACGGUGUGGCCGAUGACUGGGGUGAAGUCGUAACAAGGUAGGCGUAGAUGA